GACGAACGCUGGCGGCGUGCCUAAUACAUGCAAGUAGAACGCUGAAGGAGGAGCUUGCUCUUCUAGAUGAGUUGCGAACGGGUGAGUAACGCGUAGGUAACCUGCCUGGUAGCGGGGGAUAACUAUUGGAAACGAUAGCUAAUACCGCAUAACAGUAGAUGUUGCAUGACAUUUGCUUAAAAGGUGCGAUUGCAUCACUACCAGAUGGACCUGCGUUGUAUUAGCUAGUUGGUGGGGUAACGGCUCACCAAGGCAACGAUACAUAGCCGACCUGAGAGGGUGAUCGGCCACACUGGGACUGAGACACGGCCCAGACUCCUACGGGAGGCAGCAGUAGGGAAUCUUCGGCAAUGGACGGAAGUCUGACCGAGCAACGCCGCGUGAGUGAAGAAGGUCUUCGGAUCGUAAAGCUCUGUUGUAAGAGAAGAACGAGUGUGAGAGUGGAAAGUUCACACUGUGACGGUAUCUUACCAGAAAGGGACGGCUAACUACGUGCCAGCAGCCGCGGUAAUACGUAGGUCCCGAGCGUUGUCCGGAUUUAUUGGGCGUAAAGCGAGCGCAGGCGGUUAGAUAAGUCUGGAGUUAAAGGCUGUGGCUUAACCAUAGUACGCUUUGGAAACUGUUUAACUUGAGUGCAAGAGGGGAGAGUGGAAUUCCAUGUGUAGCGGUGAAAUGCGUAGAUAUAUGGAGGAACACCGGUGGCGAAAGCGGCUCUCUGGCUUGUAACUGACGCUGAGGCUCGAAAGCGUGGGGGAGCAAACAGG
rnacentral:rRNA from 1 species